rnacentral:sRNA from 1 species
GUCUUUUCGAGGUAGGAGUCGACUCCUGUGAGGUAUGGUGCUGGGUGCAGAUGCAGUGUGGCUCUGGAUAGCACCUUAUGGACAGUUGUGUCCCCAAGGAAGGAUGAGAAUAGCUACUGAAGUCCUAAAGAGCAAGCCUAACUCAAGCCAUUGGCACACAGGCAUUAGACAGAAAGCUGGAAGUUGAAAUGGUGGAGUCCAACUUGCCUGGACCAGCUUAAUGGUUCUGCUCCUGGUAACGUUUUUAUCCAUGGAUGACUUGCUUGGGUAAGGACAUGAAGACAGUUCCUGUCAUACCUUUUAAAGGUAUGGAGAGUCGGCUUGACUACACUGUGUGGAGCAAGUUUUAAAGAAGCAAAGGACUCAGAAUUCAUGAUUGAAGAAAUGCAGGCAGACCUGUUAUCCUAAACUAGGGUUUUUAAUGACCACAACAAGCAAGCAUGCAGCUUACUGCUUGAAAGACAGGGUCUUGCCUCACCCAAGCUAGAGUGCAGUGGCCUUUGAAGCUUACUACAGCCUCAAACUUCUGGGCUCAAGUGAUCCUCAGCCUCCCAGUGGUCUUUGUAGACUGCCUGAUGGAGUCUCAUGGCACAAGAAGAUUAAAACAGUGUCUCCAAUUUUAAUAAAUUUUUGCAAUCCAUCAAAAAAAAAAAAAAAAAA